rnacentral:rRNA from 1 species
CCUCGGAUCAGGCCAGGCUACCCGCUGAAUUUAAGCAUAUUAAUAAGCGGAGGAAAAGAAACUAACAAGGAUUCCCCCAGUAACGGCGAGCGAAGCGGGAAUAGCUCAAAUUUGAAAUCUCCGGUGCUUGCACCGGCGAAUUGUAGUCUGUAGGGCCAGUUUCACCCGAGACGGUGUCCCCAAAGUCGUCCUGGAAAGGCGGGCCGGAGAGGGUGAGAGCCCCGUGCGUGGGGGCACCGUCGGAGGUAAGAUCUGUGCCCGAAGAGUCGGGUUGUUUGGGAUUGCAGCCCAAAAUGGGUGGUAAACUCCAUCUAAAGCUAAAUACUGGCACGAGACCGAUAGCGAACAAGUACCG